AAAAAAAAAACAAAAAAUUAGAGUCGAUCCACCUUAAUCGACAGUCGAUCAGCUUAAUCGAUUAGGAUGAAGCAUAGUCGAUUAAGAAUCUGCUACUAAAAAUAACAAAUUACAACUACAAAACAAUGCAAAAUCAACUAUAUUUUACAAAAACAAAAAUAUGUAAAAAUAAUUGAUUGAUACAAAUCGGAACCAAAAACAAAAAAAAAAACAAAAAAAAAAAAUUAGAAAUUAAAAUCGAUUAGCCUUAAUCGACUAUUGAAUAUAGUCGACUGAGGAUCCAACCUACACGGAUUUUUCUGCCCCUCCGUCAUCCGCCCAAUCUAUCAAAACAAUCCUAAAUAUGCUCUCCAUCGUCACGACAUUGUCACCAGACCACACCAUCAGAGCUUAAUAAUAGAUCUAAUUUUUUUUUUUUUAAUUCCAUUGAAAAAAACAAGGAGCAUAGAAACACGAUAUGCAAUCGUUUCAUACCCCAUGGGAGGAAGUCCACCAGGCCAUCUAACCAUAUGCAUAGGUAAUGAGCUCUUUGGUUGACCUAAAAAAGCCCAAAAAUUUAGUAACCAAAUGCAACGGAAAAUUGAUUUCCCGUGAAGAGAAUGGUGAUGAGAAUAAUAUACUUACAAGAUUUCUCACAGGUGGCUCUUCUUUGUUUGCCUCCCCUGGCUGAAAUAAAAAUAUAUAAAAUACCACCCCAUCUACGAAGCAAAAUAAUGGGAUCUAAAGAUUUUGAAAAAUUCAGCAAGAAGAGAAGAAGAGAAGAGAGAAGAGAGGAAAAAAUCGUUGGCGCUGUGUCGUGUGAGAAAGAAGAGAAUGGAGGAAAAAAUAAGGGAGAGAAGAG
rnacentral:lncRNA from 1 species